rnacentral:rRNA from 1 species
GAGUUUGAUUCUGGCUCAGGAUGAACGCUAGCUACAGGCUUAACACAUGCAAGUCGAGGGGCAUCAUGCAGGUUGCUUGCGAUCUGUGAUGGCGACCGGCGCACGGGUGAGUAACGCGUAUCCAACCUACCUUCGGCAGGGGCAUAACCCGGUGAAAGCCGGCCUAAUUCCCCAUGGUCCCCGUUGAUGUCAUCUGAUUCGGGGUAAAGGUGUUUUUUCCGGCCGUUGAUGGGGAUGCGUCCGAUUAGUUAGUUGGCGGGGUAAAGGCCCACCAAGACAGUGAUCGGUAGGGGUUCUGAGAGGAAGAUCCCCCACAUUGGGACUGAGACACGGCCCAAACUCCUACGGGAGGCAGCAGUGAGGAAUAUUGGUCAAUGGGCGUAAGCCUGAACCAGCCAAGUAGCGUGGAGGACGACCGCCCUAUGGGUUGUAAACUCCUUUUAUGCGGGAAUAAAUUUCGGGACGCGUUCCCGUAGGGCAU